AUUGAACGCUGGCGGCAGGCCUAACACAUGCAAGUCGAACGAGUGGCGGACGGGUGAGUAAUGUCUGGGAAACUGCCCGAUGGUGGGGGAUAACUCCUGGAAACGGUAGCUAAUACCGCAUACCAUCGGAUGUGCCCAGAUGGGAUUAGCUAGUAGGUGGUGUAACGUCUCACCUAGGCGACGAUCCCUAGCUGGUCUGAGAGGAUGACCGGCCACACUGAAACUGAGACACGGGCCAGACUCCUACGGUAGGCACGAGUGGGGAAUAUUGCGCAAUGGGCGCAAGCCUGAUGCAGCCAUGCCGCGUGUAUGAAGAAGGCCUUCGGGUUAUAAAGUACUUUCAGCGAGGAGGCGUUACUCGCAGAAGAAGCACCGGCUAACUCCGUGCCAGCAGCCGCGGUAAUAC
rnacentral:rRNA from 1 species